UACGAAGGGGGCUAGCGUUGCUCGGAAUUACUGGGCGUAAAGGCGCGUAGGCGGCACUGUUAGUCAGGCGUGAAAGUCCUGGGCUCAACCUGGGAACUGCGCUUGAUACGGCAGAGCUAGAGGAUGGAAGAGGCUCGCGGAAUUCCCAGUGUAGAGGUGAAAUUCGUAGAUAUUGGGAAGAACACCGGUGGCGAAGGCGGCGAGCUGGUCCAUUACUGACGCUGAGGCGCGACAGCGUGGGGAGCAAACAGG
rnacentral:rRNA from 1 species